UCGUUAGCAGUUUGGCGUUGGCUGUAGAUGUCAAACUAAAGGUCUCUAAUUAUGAGAUACUGCAUAAUGCAAUAUGCAUGGAAGUUCCAUGCAAAGAAAGACCUUUCUGUAUUUAAUUGCACCUGCAUUUGAAUAGCUAUUAAGUAUUGUAACACAUAAUUAUUUGGCAACAGAAAAAUAGAACGCUGGUAUCUUUCGCCUUUCUGAAAUGUUGGGUCAUAAUUUAUCAGCACCAAUUUAAGGGUGGGCUACAAAUGUUCGUGCAGC